GCCGAACCGUACGAACGUUAUUCGGAAUCACUGGGCUUAAAGGGUGCGUAGGCUGCGCAGCAAGUUGGGUGUGAAAUCCCUCGGCUUAACCGAGGAACUGCGCCCAAAACUGCUGUGCUCGAGGGAGACAGAGGUGGGCGGAACUUAGGGUGGAGCGGUGAAAUGCGUUGAUAUCCUAAGGAACACCGGUGGCGAAAGCGGCUCACUGGGUCUCUUCUGACGCUGAGGCACGAAAGCUAGGGGAGCGAACGGG
rnacentral:rRNA from 1 species